rnacentral:rRNA from 1 species
UGGGGAAUAUUGCACAAUGGGCGCAAGCCUGAUGCAGCAACGCCGCGUGAACGAUGAAGGUCUUCGGAUCGUAAAGUUCUGUUGCAGGGGAAGAUAAUGACGGUACCCUGUGAGGAAGCCCCGGCUAACUACGUGCCAGCAGCCGCGGUAAUACGUAGGGGGCUAGCGUUAUCCGGAUUUACUGGGCGUAAAGGGUGCGUAGGUGGUCCUUCAAGUCGGUGGUUAAAGGCUACGGCUCAACCGUAGUAAGCCGCCGAAACUGGAGGACGUGAGUGCAGGAGAGGAAAGUGGAAUUCCCAGUGUAGCGGUGAAAUGCGUAGAUAUUGGGAGGAACACCAGUAGCGAAGGCGGCUUUCUGGACUGCAACUGACACUGAGGCACGAAAGCGUGGGUAGCAAACAGG